rnacentral:lncRNA from 1 species
AGUGGCUUAUAGCUGAAAUACCACAACUAGUGUAUAAGUACUGAAUCAAAGACAUCUUGUCUGAUAAGCAGUCUAAGAAGGCUCUAAUGUAAACAUUGAAAACCCUCAUAUAUCAUUCAGUUUGGAAGGAUUCAAGUGGAAGGAAGUGUCUCUUCUUCAGUCCUCUGAGGUGGCUUUUGUUCACUGAGAGGUGAAAUGCCAGCUAUUGCUCUGCCAGGACAAGUUAAGUGUCCUUUUUCCGUGGUUUUCACACCAGCAGCUGUUUUCUGAUUGGGUCCUCAACACAGUUCCUUUCCAGUCUGCCAUUUGUCAUCACAAAAAUGGGGAAAGAGGAGGAGAUUAAUUGCAGUGCCCUCUCUUGACUUAUGGCUUAUCCAGUUCAUUGCACCGUUAAAUAAUUCACACAGAGUAUUCCCAGAGUAAAGCUACAUAUUUUAUGAGUCCCCUUCCUGAGAUUACUUUAAAAGCUCAUUUUUUUCAGAUCAUUU